CCUACGGGAGGCAGCAGUGAGGAAUAUUGGACAAUGGGCGCAAGCCUGAUCCAGCCAUGCCGCGUGCAGGAAGAAGCAUCUAUGGUGUGUAAACUGCUUUUGUACGGGAAGAAACACUGCUACGUGUAGCAGCUUGACGGUACCGUAAGAAUAAGGAUCGGCUAACUCCGUGCCAGCAGCCGCGGUAAUACGGAGGAUCCAAGCGUUAUCCGGAAUCAUUGGGUUUAAAGGGUCCGUAGGCGGUUUGGUAAGUCAGUGGUGAAAGCCCAUCGCUUAACGAUGGAACGGCCAUUGAUACUGCCAGACUUGAAUUACUAGGAAGUAACUAGAAUAUGUAGUGUAGCGGUGAAAUGCUUAGAUAUUACAUGGAAUACCAAUUGCGGAGGCAGGUUACUACUAGUUUAUUGACGCUGAUGGACGAAAGCGUGGGGAGCGAACAGGAUUAGAUACCCUGGUAGUCCACGCCGUAAACGAUGGAUACUAGCUGUUCGGGGUAACCUGAGUGGCUAAGCGAAAGUGAUAAGUAUCCACCUGGGGAGUACGUUCGCAAGAAUUGAAACUUAAAGGAAUUGAGG
rnacentral:rRNA from 1 species